CAGCCGCCGCGGUAAAACAGAGGGUGCGAGCGUUAAUCGGAUUUACUGGGCGUAAAGCGUGCGUAGGCGGCUAAUUGAGUCGGAUGUGAAAUCCCCGAGCUUAACUUGGGAAUUGCAUUCGAUACUGGUUAGCUAGAGUGUGGGAGAGGAUGGUAGAAUUCCAGGUGUAGCGGUGAAAUGCGUAGAGAUCUGGAGGAAUACCGAUGGCGAAGGCAGCCAUCUGGCCUAACACUGACGCUGAGGUACGAAAGCAUGGGGAGCAAACAGGAUUAGAUACCCCAGUAGUCCCUGUCUCUUAUAC
rnacentral:rRNA from 1 species